rnacentral:sRNA from 1 species
UACCGCAAGACAGAGGACUUCUUCACCAUCUGGCUGGAUCUCAACAUGUUCCUACCCCUUGGGGUAGACUGCUGGAUCGAUAACACCAGGUACAGCCAUGUGCUCCACCCUAGCCCCAACACGCUGCCCCUUGGCUACUGGCUGCUGAGUGGCACCCCCGCCCCGCAGGGUUGUCUACAACCGGAGCUCUGGGCUCGUGUCCAACGCCCCUGGUGUCCAGAUCCGCGUCCCUGGCUUUGGCAAGACCUACUCUGUGGAGUACCUGGACAGCAGCAAGCUGGCAGGGUACCUGCACACACUGGUGCAGAACCUGGUCAACAACGGCUACGUGCGGGACGAGACUGUGCGCGCCGCCCCCUAUGACUGGCGGCUGGAGCCCGGUGAGUGUCUCUGCGGAUGACCGGCUUGGGGUGGGGCAGGUGCCCCAGACCCCAGCUGCCCUGACCCCUUCCACCCGCUGCAGGCCAGCAGGAGGAGUACUACCGCAAGCUCGCAGGGCUGGUGGAGGAGAUGCACGCUGCCUAUGGGAAGCCUGUCUUCCUCAUUGGCCACAGCCUCGGCUGUCUACACUUGCUCUAUUUCCUGCUGCGCCAGCCCCAGGCCUGGAAGGACCGCUUUAUUGAUGGCUUCAUCUCUCUUGGGGCUCCCUGGG